CAGACAGGCAGUAUCUGCAGGAGUAAACCUGGGUCCUCGUAAGUGUGGAGAAAGUGAUCCGAAAGGCGAUCCACGGUCACGCAGUGAGAGGAGCCCUUGAGAAAUUUUAUAACUUCAUGUGGAAGACUUCAGAAGUGCAAGAAGGGCCCUUGCUCGCCAGGAGAUUAACCCGUCAGGCCGCCGAGUGAGAAGGGGCAGAGCAGACCCGGACAGGAGGGCUGGGGUGCAGGGGAAAUCCAAACACAUCCACCUGCUCAGGGAAGACUGUCCAGACACCUCGUCCCCCUGUGGGCAUCUGGGGCAAGCGCUGUCGCAGCCACUGUUGUGGCACCUGGUCAUUUACGACUGCCUCAUGACAUUAUUCCUCACUGUUGUCUUUGCAUUGUUGUUCAACAACUUUCUGUAAUUGUCUCUUCUGACCCCAAAUAAACCUCAGCACUUGGAAGGCAAGGAGUAGCUCUGGU